AUUGAACGCUGGCGGCAGGCCUAACACAUGCAAGUCGAGCGGAGCGGCGGACGGGUGAGUAAUGCCUAGGAAUCUGCCUGGUAGUGGGGGAUAACGUUCGGAAAUGGGCGCUAAUACCGCCUACUUCCAGAUGUGCCUAGGUCGGAUUAGCUAGUUGGUGGGGUAAAGGCCUACCAUGGCGACGAUCCAGAACUGGUCUUGGAGGAUGAUCAGUCACAAUGGAACUGAGGCACGGUCCAGACUGCUACGGGAGGCAGCAGUGGUGAAUAUUGGGCAAUGGGCGAAAACCUGAUCCAGCCAUGCCGCGUAUAGGAAGAAGAUCUUCGGAUUUUAGAGCAAUUUAAGUUGGGAGGCAUUACCAACAGAAUAAGCACCGGCUAACUGCGUGCCAGCAGCCGCGGUAAUUC
rnacentral:rRNA from 1 species